CUCAAGCUACCACUUACUGUUGAUUGUGAUGAAAUGCCAGCUGAGGCACACGCCUUGGGAGCUAAGUGGUUGCUGCCCUUGACUACUAUGAAGACUGGUGUGGGAAGGGUCGCUUUGGAUGCACUUGAGCAGGGGUCCCCAACCCCUGAGCCAUGGAGCCGUAAGGAGCCACACAGCAGGUGAGUGGUGUCGAGUGAGGGAGUGAGGGAAGCUUCGUCUGUAUUUACAGCCACUCCCCUUUGCUCACAUUCCCGCCUGAGCUCCACCUUCUCAGAUGAGCAGCAGCAUUAGAUUCUCAUAGGAGAACGCACCCUGUUGUGAACCGUGCAUGUGAGGGAUCUAGGUUGCGCUGUGCUUAUGAGAAUCUAAUACCUAUUGAUCUGUCACUUUCCCCCAUCACGCUCAGGUGGGACCAUCCAGUUUCAGGAAAACAAGCUUAACACGCCCACUGAUUCUACAUUAUGCUCCUACCUCCCGGCAGCCUCGCCAGGCCCAGAACUCUCUCCAGUCAGCCUCUACAGACCAAGCUCAUGACUCACAAUGGCCUAUUUAGGCCCAUACCCUACCUCACGGCAGUCUCCUCAGAGGAGCCUACUGCCUCACAACAGCCUCCACAGGCACAGCUCCAUCGUUACAAUGGCCUCUUUAGACCCAGCUCCUGCCUCCCAGCCUUCUCUCCAGGCCCUGAACUUUCUCCGUGGGAUCAUCCAGUUUCAGGAAAACAAGCUUAACACGCCCACUGAUUCUACAUUAUGCUCCUACCUCCCGGCAGCCUCGCCAGGCCCAGAACUCUCUCCAGUCAGCCUCUACAGACCAAGCUCAUGACUCACAAUGGCCUAUUUAGGCCCAUACCCUACCUCACAGCAGUCUCCGCAGAUGAGCCUACUGCCUCACAACAGCCUCCACAGGCACAGCUCCAUCGUUACAAUGGCCUCUUUAGACCCAGCUCCUGCCUCCCAGCCUUCUCUCCAGGCCCUGAACUUUCUCCGUAAGUUGAGGUAGCUGGGACUGUAGGUAUACAUGACGAUACUUGGCUAAUUUUUAAAUUGUUUUGCAGACAUGGGGUCUCACUUUGUUGGCCAGGCUGCUGUCAAACUAAUGGCCUCAAGUGACCCUUCCACCCCUGCCUCCCAUCCUCGAGGUAUGUGCCACCACAAGGAGCACUUGUUCAAUUUUCUAAAGAAAAAAUUUCUAAAGUAAGGCUGUGGGAUGAUGGCAGGAAGAUAAAAGAAAAACAGAAGAAUAAGUUAAAAUGACUUAUUCACACAUAUUCUUUUGACAGCAAGAAGAACUGUUAGUAUAUGCAUUCCUUACAAACAAAGAAACGGCAGAUAAACAAUGUUGUAUAGGAACUUCAACACACACUGUACAAUAUUCCCACUUUGCUGACAUAAGUUAUGGAAAUUUCGUGGUUUCCUUGAGUGUCGCUACCAGUAUUUUGCUUCUCUGAUGAUUUUUAUCAACUUCCUCAUCUGUUAACUUCUCUCCAAGGUAUGUCAUGUCACGACAUGCUGCCGCUGCACGAACACGGCCAGUGUCUUCCUAUUAAACAUGUAGAAUGCUUUCCUAA